rnacentral:rRNA from 1 species
GGACUACCGGGGUUUCUAAUCCUGUUUGCUCCCCACGCUCUCGCGCCUCAGCGUCAGUCUCCGUCCAGGCGGUCGCCUUCGCCACCGGUGUUCCUCCCAAUAUCUACGAAUUUCACCUCUACACUGGGAAUUCCACCACCCUCUCCGGGACUCUAGUUGAGUAGUUUCGGAUGCACUUCCAAGGUUGAGCCCUGGGCUUUCACAUUCGACUUACCCAACCGCCUACGCGCCCUUUACGCCCAAUGAUUCCGAACAACGCUUGCACCCUCUGUCUUACCGCGGCUGCUGGCAC